AUUGAACGCUGGCGGCAUGCCUUACACAUGCAAGUCGAACGGCAGCAUGAUCUAGCUUGCUAGAUUGAUGGCGAGUGGCGAACGGGUGAGUAAUACAUCGGAACGUGCCCUGUAGUGGGGGAUAACUAGUCGAAAGAUUAGCUAAUACCGCAUACGACCUGAGGGUGAAAGUGGGGGACCGCAAGGCCUCAUGCUAUAGGAGCGGCCGAUGUCUGAUUAGCUAGUUGGUGAGGUAAAGGCUCACCAAGGCGACGAUCGGUAGCUGGUCUGAGAGGACGAUCAGCCACACUGGGACUGAGACACGGCCCAGACUCCUACGGGAGGCAGCAGUGGGGAAUUUUGGACAAUGGGCGAAAGCCUGAUCCAGCAAUGCCGCGUGUGUGAAGAAGGCCUUCGGGUUGUAAAGCACUUUUGUCCGGAAAGAAAUGGCUCUGGUUAAUACCUGGGGUCGAUGACGGUACCGGAAGAAUAAGGACCGGCUAACUACGUG
rnacentral:rRNA from 1 species